rnacentral:sRNA from 1 species
GCUGGGUGCACUGGCACACACCUGUAAUCCCAUCUACUGGGGAACGUGAGGCAGGAGGAUCUCUUGAGCCCACCAGUUUGAGACUAGCCUAGGCAAUAUAGGAGACCCUGCCUCAA